rnacentral:rRNA from 1 species
UACAGAGGUCUCAAGCGUUGUUCGGAUUCAUUGGGCGUAAAGGGUGCGUAGGCGGCGGGGAAAGUCUGAUGUGAAAUCCUGGGGCUCAACCCUGGAACUGCAUUGGAUACUUCCUUGCUAGAGUACUGGAGAGGAAACUGGAAUUUACGGUGUAGCAGUGAAAUGCGUAGAGAUCGUAAGGAAGACCAGUGGCGAAGGCGAGUUUCUGGACAGUUACUGACGCUGAGGCACGAAGGCCAGGGGAGCAAACGGG